rnacentral:rRNA from 1 species
CACGUAGGGUGCAAGCGUUGUCCGGAAUUAUUGGGCGUAAAGAGCUCGUAGGCGGUGUGUCGCGUCGGCCGUGAAAACCUGCAGCUUAACUGUGGGCUUGCGGUCGAUACGGGCAUCACUGGAGUUCGGCAGGGGGAGACUGGAAUUCCUGGUGUAGCGGUGAAAUGCGCAGAUAUCAGGAGGAACACCGGUGGCGAAGGCGGCGACCUGGGUCGAGACUGACGCUGAGGCGCGAAAGCGUGGGGAGCAAACAGG